GACGAACGCUGGCGGCGUGCCUAAUACAUGCAAGUCGAGCGAAGUUUUUCUGGUGCUUGCACCGGAAAAACUUAGCGGCGAACGGGUGAGUAACACGUAAAGAACCUGCCUCAUAGACUGGGACAACUAUUGGAAACGAUAGCUAAUACCGGAUAACAGCAUUAACUGCAUGGUUGAUGUUUGAAAGUUGGUUUUGCUAACACUAUGAGAUGGCUUUGCGGUGCAUUAGCUAGUUGGUGGGGUAAAGGCCUACCAAGGCGACGAUGCAUAGCCGACCUGAGAGGGUGAUCGGCCACACUGGGACUGAGACACAGCCCAGACUCCUACGGGAGGCAGCAGUAGGGAAUCUUCCGCAAUGGGCGAAAGCCUGACGGAGCAACGCCGCGUGAGUGAAGAAGGAUUUCGGUUCGUAAAGCUCUGUUGUUAGGGAAGAAUGAUUAUGUAGUAACUAUACAUAGUAGAGACGGUACCUAACCAGAAAGCCACGGCUAACUACGUG
rnacentral:rRNA from 1 species